GACGAACGCUGGCGGCGUGCCUAAUACAUGCAAGUCGAGCGGAUUUGUUCCUUCGGGGAUAAGUUAGCGGCGGACGGGUGGGUAACACGUAGGUAACCUGCCUAUAAGACCGGGAUAACUAUCGGAAACGAUAGCUAAGACCGGAUAUCUGGUUUUCUCGCAUGAGAGAAUCAUGAAACACGGAGCAAUCUGUGGCUUAUAGAUGGGCCUGCGGCGCAUUAGCUAGUUGGUAGGGUAACGGCCUACCAAGGCGACGAUGCGUAGCCGACCUGGGAGGGUGAACGGCCACACUGGGACUGAGACACGGCCCAGACUCCUACGGGAGGCAGCAGUAGGGAAUCUUCCGCAAUGGACGCAAGUCUGACGGAGCAACGCCGCGUGAGUGAUGAAGGUUUUCGGAUCGUAAAGCUCUGUUGCCCUAGACGAACAGCAAGAGGAGUGACUGCCUUUUGUGUGACGGUAUAGGAGAAGAAAGCCCCGGCUAACUACGUGCCAGCCGCCGCAGUAA
rnacentral:rRNA from 1 species